AGUGAGCGCUGGCGGUAGGCCUAGCACAUGCAAGUCGAACGGCAGCACAGUAAGAACUUGCUCUUACGGGUGGCGAGUGGCGGACGGGUGAGGAAUACAUCGGAAUCUACUUUUUCGUGGGGGAUAACGUAGGGAAACUUACGCUAAUACCGCAUACGACCUACGGGUGAAAGCAGGGGAUCUUCGGACCUUGCGCGAUUGAAUGAGCCGAUGUCGGAUUAGCUAGUUGGCGGGGUAAAGGCCCACCAAGGCGACGAUCCGUAGCUGGUCUGAGAGGAUGAUCAGCCACACUGGAACUGAGACACGGUCCAGACUCCUACGGGAGGCAGCAGUGGGGAAUAUUGGACAAUGGGCGCAAGCCUGAUCCAGCCAUACCGCGUGGGUGAAGAAGGCCUUCGGGUUGUAAAGCCCUUUUGUUGGGAAAGAGAAGCAGCAGGUUAAUACCCCGCUGUUCUGACGGUACCCAAAGAAUAAGCACCGGCUAACUUCGUG
rnacentral:rRNA from 1 species